GAUGAACGCUGGCGGCGUGCCUAAUACAUGCAAGUCGAGCGAACGGACGAGAAGCUUGCUUUUCUGAUGUUAGCGGCGGACGGGUGAGUAACACAUGGAUAACCUACCUAUAAGACUGGGAUAACUUCGGGAAACCGGAGCUAAUACCGGAUAAUAUUUUGAACCGCAUGGUUCAAAAGUGAAAGACGGUCUUGCUGUCACUUAUAGAUGGAUCCGCGCUGCAUUAGCUAGUUGGUAAGGUAACGGCUUACCAAGGCAACGAUGCAUAGCCGACCUGAGAGGGUGAUCGGCCACACUGGAACUGAGACACGGUCCAGACCCCUACGGGAGGCAGCAGUAGGGAAUCUUCCGCAAUGGGCGAAAGCCUGACGGAGCAACGCCGCGUGAGUGAUGAAGGUCUUCGGAUCGUAAAACUCUGUUAUUAGGGAAGAACAUAUGUGUAAGUAACUGUGCACAUCUUGACGGUACCUAAUCAGAAAGCCACGGCUAACUACGUG
rnacentral:rRNA from 1 species